rnacentral:rRNA from 1 species
UUACGGUCAAAUCACGCUGAAACACCGGUUCUCGUUCGAUCACCGAAGUUAAGCAUCGUAGAGCCAGGUUAGUACUUAGAUGGGGGACCGCUUGGGAACACCUGGUACUGUAAG